rnacentral:misc_RNA from 1 species
CUUUAUCAUGACUUGUGAAUCAGCAGUUCAACUGAGGAAAGCUGGCAAAGUUACUGUAAGAGAAUCCAGCUUAAAAAAAUUGGGAGCUGUCCACUUCAAAUACGGAGUUGUUGACGAACAUUUUGAGGUAACAAAGUUUGCACUAUUGGAGACCAUAAAGGAAGCAGUACCAGAGCUGUGGUCACCAGAAAUGAAAAUUGCAUGGGNGACCAGCUGGUUGCUGCAAUUAAGACAGAAAUGAAACCUUCCUCUUAGGAAAAUUCCUUGCCUUUGAUGAAAUAAACUUUGUUAAAUUUGUUAUACCAGCAGAUUCAGAGUGAUGAUAUGACACUUUUUGUAUGAGCGUAUGCCCUUCUAUAUAUGUUUGUCUGUACUGUACUGUAAUGAAAUAUGAUAUUUCGAAAGAGCCCAACUUCUUUUCUCUGGUUUUGGUUUUUCUCUCGGAGGAGUGUCUCCUGUUUCUUGCCGUUUAGCGGUCGCCUCUGCCACUUCUAGUCAGGGGUGGCCUUCCCCUUCCUACCCAGAUGUGGGUUUCCCUCUCCCACCUUUGGGUGGGUUGUGUAUAGUUGUUUUUGGUUGGAGCUUCAUGGUUAAGGGUGCAUGUUUGAAACUGCUAUGUUAGGUCGGUGUUCUGUGAUCUGUGGGAAAGGGAUGUCUCAGGGAUGUUCACGGAGUUGCUCUUGUAACUCUCGUUCUCUUGAAACCUACAAGGCCAGAGCUUACCCUCCUUCCAUGUUUUCGGUGACCAUGGUCUGCAUUCGUUUUUUGCAUGACCUGCUAGCAUAAAUCAUUCUCUGAUCUGGGG